rnacentral:rRNA from 1 species
CAGCGCCACGAGUGGCAAUCGUGUAUUUGGCCUAAAGCGUCCGUAGCUGGCGUUGUAAAUCCUUUGUGAAAUCGUUGGGCUUAACCUAACGGCGUGCAGAGGACACUGCAAUGCUUGAGACCGGGAGGAGUCAGAGGUAUUCCUGGGGGAGCGGUAAAAUGCUAUAAUCCCAGGAGGACCGCCAGUGGCGAAGGCGUCUGACUAGAACGGAUCUGACAGUGAGGGACGAAAGCCAGGGGAGCGAACCGGAUUAGAUACCCGCGUAGUCC